rnacentral:tRNA from 1 species
UCCCAGUUAGUACAAUGGUUAGUAUAGGGCACUCUCAGAAUCAGGCGGAUAACCCGUCCUAUACUGAACUGCUCAGAUCAGGGUUCGAUUCCCUGGCCGGGAA